GACGAACGCUGGCGGCGUGCUUAACACAUGCAAGUCGAACGGAAAGGCCCUGCUUUUGUGGGUUGCUCGAUUGGCGAACGGGUGAGUAACACGUGAGUAACCUGCCCUUGACUUUGGGAUAACUUCAGGAAACUGGGGCUAAUACCGGAUAGGAGCUCCUGCUGCACGGUGGGGGUUGGAAAGUUUCGGCGGUUGGGGAUGGACUCGCGGCUUAUCAGCUUGUUGGUGGGGUAGUGGCUUACCAAGGCUUUGACGGGUAGCCGGCCUGAGAGGGUGACCGGCCACAUGGGGACUGAGAUACGGAGCAGACGCCUACGGGAGGCAGCAGUGGGGAAUAUUGCACAAUGGGCGGAAGCCUGAUGCAGCAACGCCGCGUGCGGGAUGACGGCCUUCGGGUUGUAAACCGCUUUCGCCUGUGACGAAGCGUGAGUGACGGUAAUGGGUAAAGAAGCACCGGCUAACUACGUG
rnacentral:rRNA from 1 species